GGUCAAGAUAGAAAGGGCUGACGGUGGAAACCUUGGCACACAGAGGCGAAGAAGGACGUGGCGACCGACGAUAAACUCCGGGGAGCUGGAAGCGAGCGAUGAGCCGGAGGUGUCCGAAUGGGGCAACCCAAAAACAGCCCACUGAAUCAAAUAGGUGGGUAUGAGCGAACCGGGCGAACUGAAACAUCUUAGUAGCCCGAGGAAAAGAAAGCAAAAGCGAUUUCCCGAGUAGUGGUGAGCGAAAGGGAAACAGCCUAAACCAACAGGUUUACCUGUUGGGGUAGUGGGACAGCGACAGUGGACUCAGAGAGUUAGACAAAGCAGAUGAAACCUGCACCAAAGAAGGUGAAAGUCCUGUAGUCGAAAACUCAAAAAGCCUAGCUGAAUCCCGAGUAGCACGGAGCCCGUGAAAGUCCGUGUGAAUCCGCCUCGACCACGAGGUAAGGCUAAAUACUCCUGUGUGACCGAUAGAGAAACAGUACCGUGAGGGAAAGGUGAAAAGAACCCCGGAAGGGGAGUGAAACAGAACCUGAAACCGUCAGCUUACAAGCAGUGGGAGUCCGAUUCAACGGAUGACCGCGUGCCUGUUGAAGCAUGAGCCGGCGAGUUAAAGGCAAUGGCAGGUUAAGACAGA
rnacentral:ncRNA from 1 species